rnacentral:rRNA from 1 species
CGCGGCGGCAUGCUUACACAUGCAAGUCGAACGGCAGCGCGGGGCAACCUGGCGGCGAGUGGCGAACGGGUGAGUAAUAUAUCGGAACGUACCCUGGAGUUGGGGGAUAACGUAGCGAAAGUUACGCUAAUACCGCAUACGAUCUAAGGAUGAAAGUGGGGGAUGCGCAAGCACCUCAUGCUCCUGGAGCGGCCGAUAUCUGAUUAGCUAGUUGGUGGGGUAAAGGCCUACCAAGGCAUCGAUCAGUAGCUGGUCUGAGAGGACGACCAGCCACACUGGAACUGAGACACGGUCCAGACUCCUACGGGAGGCAGCAGUGGGGAAUUUUGGACAAUGGGCGAAAGCCUGAUCCAGCAAUGCCGCGUGAGUGAAGAAGGCCUUCGGGUUGUAAAGCUCUUUUGUCAGGGAAGAAACGGUGAGGGCUAAUAUCCCUUGCUAAUGACGGUACCUGAAGAAUAAGCACCGGCUAACUACGUGCCAGCAGCCGCGGUAAUACGUAGGGUGCAAGCGUUAAUCGGAAUUACUGGGCGUAAAGCGUGCGCAGGCGGUUUUGUAAGUCUGUCGUGAAAUCCCCGGGCUCAACCUGGGAAUUGCGAUGGAGACUGCAAGGCUAGAAUCUGGCAGAGGGGGGUAGAAUUCCACGUGUAGCAGUGAAAUGCGUAGAGAUCGUAAGGAAGACCAGUGGCGAAGGCGGGUCUCUGGACAGUUCCUGACACUGAGGCACGAAGGCCAGGGGAGCAAACGGGAUUAGAUACCCCGGUAGUCCUGGCAGUAAACGGUGCACGUUUGGUGUGGGAGGAUUCCGACCUUCCGGCCGGAGCUAACGCGUUAAACGUGCCGCUGGGGAGUACGGUCGCAAGAUUAAACUCAAGAAAUUGA